UAAUACAGAGGGGGCGAGCGUUAUUCGGAAUUAUUGGGCGUAAAGGGCGCGUAGGCGGCUUGACAAGUCCAAGGUGAAAUCCCUCGGCUCAACCGAGGAACUGCCUUGGAAACUGUCUGGCUUGAGGCCGGGAGAGGGUAGUGGAAUUCCCAGUGUAGCGGUGAAAUGCGUAGAUAUUGGGAGGAACACCGGUGGCGAAGGCGGCUACCUGGACCGGAUCUGACGCUGAUGCGCGAAAGCGUGGGGAGCAAACAGGAUUAGAUACCCUGGUAGUCCACGCUGUAAACGAUGGGUGCUCGGUGUCGCGGGUAUCGACCCCUGCGGUGCCUUAGCUAACGCGUUAAGCACCCCGCCUGGGGAGUACGGUCGCAAGGCUG
rnacentral:rRNA from 1 species